AGGGACUGGUUAAGCACACGAUGGG
rnacentral:piRNA from 1 species